UGAAUUGAUGAUUAAUACGAGUGAUCAACGCGGCCUUAAACCAAGAGCUCUUCUUCUUAGUUGCAAACCACUCAUUCACGGUAGUAGGGGAAGAUCAGUACUUGAGAGCUGGCAGUGUUGGUCUCCCUAAUGUUGACGAUUUCUUUUCAAUGCUAUUAUGUAGCACAAUCUCCAUCUUCUUCGGCUUCCACUGGAUCAACUCCAGCUACUCCAGGGCAAAGUAACCUUUUUACAUUGGAAUAAAGGACAGGAGAUGGCUCCUACAAUUGGGACCGAAGGUGGAACUCUCUUAGUUAGAAAAAUACCAGUUCCAGGCCCAAGUUAAGCAGAGAUCUUCAUACAUCUAUUGUUGAGCAACGCUUUCCAUUGUUUGUUAUUAUUUUACAGAAAAUGUUUCCCAAAGGCGAUCUACCUGAAUGGGUCUGCAAUGCCAUGGAGGUUGCAGAAGUUGAUAUUUCUUCAUGCUGUAGAUGAUCUUCAACGCUUUCCAAGCAGGUUGUUUCCACCAAAUUAUAUCUUAUACUUGGUUUUUAUGUGCCAAUUUUGACUAGGUAUCAUAUAUAGGAAGGAACACAUGCUUUUACCACAAAACUGUCCGAAUUGUGUACCAUUUUCGCUUCAGAAUAUGCACAACCAUUUUUAUAAUUUUUUUCGGUAACUAACAAGACGGUACAGAACAAAAGAGGGUGUUGAAAUGAAAAAAGAACUAAUGGGUGGUUUAAUGUGGAGAUUUUUGAACAUAUACUUAUAUUUUAUAUGAUUUCUCUAAACCCAUACUUACUACACAAGGCAAAAGAAUCUCCAAGGAUUAUUAUGACAUUCUAAUUCUGUGAAUUGAUGUGGUUACUGGUUAUUUAAUCCUACCAAAUUUGUUAGAUUUUACUGCUGUUUGAAAUUGACAGCAACUUAUAAGAUUGAUUAAACUUAAGUCUGCUCAUAGAACUAUUUUACUGUAACAUGAUCCAAAACCUACUCUAAUAGUAGAAAACUCAUAGUUCCCUUGCAUACUGUGAAAUGUAUAGGUACUGACGUACUAGUGUAGUGCCCCAUCCCUUAUUUGUUGUUUUGGUUCUAGCAACGAGUGGUUAUCUUCUGUCUUCCGUAGUCCGUUAGGUUCAAUUAGGCCGGGUCUAUGCUAGGGAGCAACCUGGUGUCUCUUGUCUACUAAAAAGUUGUGGUUAUAAGUUGUGGAUUGAUUGGUUGUACUAAAAAAAAUGCUAGAUAUUUAUGGUAAAAUCUAAAUGCCUUUGACUUGCUCAUAAUUGUGCUUUGACCAUAUUGUUGGCACUCCCCUUGGCAAGGUUUUCGGUGAUGUUUCUGAGGAACAAUCAAUUGCGACUGUUAUUGAAGCUUUUAAUCAGGGUAUCAACUUAUUUGACACUUCUCCGUAAGUUCAUCGUCUUCCUCAAAUUUGAUGAGCCAUUUCUGUAUUUCUCCCCAAUUUUAGUAGUAUCUAGAUGUGUAUUUUUUGGAAUUUUUGGAAUUGUAAUAUGUUAUUUUGAUUAUUGUUGUACGAAAAUUGAAUUUUUUGUGACCCAUUUUGGGGUUAGAUCAGUAUUUGUCAUACUGAAAUCUAUUAGAGUGAGUUGUCUCGGGUUGGAGACUAAUAGAGUGAUCGCAAAAUUACUCCACCUAUAUAGCCAAUUGAUUAUGGGAUGAACAGGGAUACAAGUGUUCUGACUUGGAUUCCGGCCAAGCCUAUUUUACAAAGUUAACAUUAUAUACUGUAAAGAUGCCGCCUUUGUCAUUUGAUUGGAUUAAUUAGGAUUGUGUUGUUGUAAUGAUUUGUUAUGAUGAAUCUAUUUUGUGGAUUUUGCAUGUUUGGGUACUUUGGUGCGAAAAUGUCGGAGAAAGCGCGUGGGAAGUGUUUGAAAGCACUUGGUGCACCUAGAGGAAGCUCUCUGAUUACAAAAGCAGUGAUGGGAAGACAACUCUACUUCACUUUGUGGUUCAUGAGGUUGUCAGGAACGAGGGGUGACGGUGUGUUAUGAACAGGAACAACAUCUUAGCCAGAACUAACAGUCACAUAAACUCAACCUCAAACCCAAACCCAAACCCGGAGGAAUCCAAGUCAAAAGAGGAACAAGAAAAAGAGUUCUUACAGCUAGGAUUACCUGUUGUAGGGGGGUUAAGCUCUGAGUUCUCAAAUGUUAAGAAAGCAACCACCCUGAUUUCAUUUUAGACCAUUACUUUGAGCUAGAAUUAAAUAAUUAAUCUGUAUUCCUCAGCUUCUGUUUUAGAACACAGUUCUUAUAAGUAGACUGAGUUUAUAUUUUACUUUAUAAGAUCAGAAGAAAUGUCCCUUA